UACGGGGGGAGCAAGCGUUGUUCGGAUUUACUGGGCGUAAAGGGCGCGUAGGCGGCCACCGCAAGUCAAUUGUGAAAUCUCCGGGCUCAACCCGGAACGGUCAACUGAUACUGCGGGGCUAGAGUGCAGAAGGGGCAACUGGAAUUCUCGGUGUAGCGGUGAAAUGCGUAGAUAUCGAGAGGAACACCUGCGGCGAAGGCGGGUAGCUGGGCCGACACUGACGCUGAGGCGCGAAAGCCAGGGGAGCGAACGGG
rnacentral:rRNA from 1 species